GAUGAACGCUAGCGGCAGGCUUAACACAUGCAAGUCGAGGGGCAGCGCAGGUAGCAAUACUGGGCGGCGACCGGCAAACGGGUGCGGAACACGUACGCAAUUUACCCUUAUCUGGGGGAUAGCCCGGAGAAAUCCGGAUUAAUACCCCAUAAUAUAUAUGGAUGGCAUCAUCUGCAUAUUAAAGCUCAGGCGGAUAAGGAUGAGCGUGCGUCCCAUUAGCUAGUUGGUAGGGUAAAGGCCUACCAAGGCGACGAUGGGUAGCUGGUGUGAGAGCACGACCAGCCACACGGGCACUGAGACACGGGCCCGACUCCUACGGGAGGCAGCAGUGAGGAAUAUUGGUCAAUGGACGCAAGUCUGAACCAGCCAUGCCGCGUGGAGGAUGAAGGCCUUCUGGGUUGUAAACUUCUUUUAUCGGGGAAGAAAAUUAUGGUUUCUACUAUAACCGACGGUACCCGAGGAAUCAGCACCGGCUAACUCCGUGCCAGCAGCCGAC
rnacentral:rRNA from 1 species